UACGUAGGGUGCAAGCGUUGUCCGGAAUUAUUGGGCGUAAAGAGCUCGUAGGCGGUCUGUCGCGUCUGCUGUGAAAACUCAGGGCUUAACCCUGAGCUUGCAGUGGGUACGGGCAGACUAGAGUGCGGUAGGGGAGACUGGAAUUCCUGGUGUAGCGGUGAAAUGCGUAGAUAUCGAGAGGAACACCUGCGGCGAAGGCGGGUUGCUGGGCUGAUACUGACGCUGAGGCGCGAAAGCCAGGGGAGCGAACGGG
rnacentral:rRNA from 1 species